GAGAGCCUGAGCGGGACGUGAGACUGAUGUGAGCCCAUAAAUCAGUGUGAACAUAGAAAAACAUUUUGUAUGUGCUUGACUCUGCAUCUGUCAGCUAAUGUGCCACCAGCCAGUCACAGACAGCUCUUUUUCAUCCAGCUAGGCGAUUCCUGUUUGGAUAAAUAACAGCCAAUUAGAGCACAGCACCAAGUGGCAUAAAUUACCAAACAAACUGAGAAUAUCCAGCUUGGCCGUACACAGUGGAUCCAUUGCUUUCAUGAGCUGAAUAUUUCCUCUUACUGAUGUCGAACAGUUUUGCAGUAAGAAGCUAAACGUUACACCAGACUGAAACCGCCCUUCCAGUGCAUGCGCUAGUUCAUUCGGGUAUUCUCACUCACCAACAUCAAACAUAUGCAGGAUAAUUAUGGCAUGGAUGGAGAGCCCAUCUGAGGACGAUGAAAGGUGAUCAUGCUGAGUCAGUCGGCAUGUGGGCCGGUUCGAAGUGAAGCCGAGAGGAGGAGGAGAGGAAGUUUAACAGACAAGUAACAGUGGAUGAAUAAGAAAUGAAUCCCAGUGGAGAUCACCUGCUGGAAUAAUCAGCGUUCAU